rnacentral:rRNA from 1 species
UGUUGUGGCCUUACCAUUUUCCAGUGUCUGAUCUUGUCUGAUCUUGGAAGCUAAGCCAAGUUGGGCCUGGUUAGUACUUGAGAGACUGCUUGGAAUACCAUGUGUCACAUUGG